AAGUGUCACCACAAACCAAAAUGUCAGAACAGACCACAAGAUUGAAUUCCACAUUGUGCAGGCCCUAAAGUAUGGCAGGAUCCUGGUCAAUCAUCCUGUUUCCCACUCAUUUUCUCAGGAUGACUUGAUGAUGUGUGAUUUACAGGCAUGAUGGCAGUGAUGACUUUGAUGUAUUCAACCUGAGAGUGAAAGUUAAAGCCACAUACUUAGAGGUGAGAAUGGGUGUCUAUGUUCAAGUGUGCUUGGAAGGUCACCCACAUCACACGCAGGUUCUGCACAUCAAGACUCUUGUAGUUGAAGAAAGAAAACCAGUAAAACUGAAUACAGGAAGGCUCCAGGCUGGGCAUGAAGAUAAUAUUCCUUCAGAGGCAGUGUUCAUAGUCGGAACUCCACCAAUGCAUGGAUACCUCCAAAAAUUUAUACCAGAAGGCGGCAGCUUGGGUGCAGAUGAAAAGUCCCUUUGGCUUUUACACAACCGGAUGUGGAGGAUGGCAAUAUCCUUUAUGUGCAGACAUCCCCCAACCAAGAACAGGACUGUUUUUCCCUGGAUGUGAUGAAUGGUUUCCAAGUUGUGGGCAGAGUCAAAAUCUUGGUGGACACCACGCCUAAGUGGAUUUUUCUGCAGGUACAG
rnacentral:lncRNA from 1 species